rnacentral:rRNA from 1 species
AAGCGUUGUUCGGAAUAACUGGGCGUAAAGCGUGUGUAGGCUGCGCGGAAAGUCAAAUGUGAAAGCCAAGGGCUCAACCCUUGAACUGCAUUCGAUACUCCCGUGCUAGAGUAAUGGAGAGGUAAGUGGAAUUCUCGGUGUAGCAGUGAAAUGCGUAGAUAUCGAGAGGAACAUCAAUGGCGAAGGCAACUUACUGGACAUUUACUGACGCUCAGACACGAAGGCUAGGGGAGCGAAAGGGAUUAGAUACCCCUGUAGUCCUAGCAGUAAACGGUGCUCGCUUGGUGUGGGAGGAUUCGACCCCUUCUGUGCCGGAGCUAACGCGUUAAGCGAGCCGCCUGGGAAGUACGGUCGCAAGACUAAAACUCAAAGAAAUUGACGGGGACCCGCACAAGCGGUGGAGUAUGUGGCUUAAUUCGAUGCAACGCGAAGAACCUUACCUAGGCUUGACAUGCUCAUCAUACCCUCCCGAAAAGGAGGGGUCGGUUCGGCCGGAUGAUGCACAGGUGCUGCAUGGCCGUCGUCAGCUCGUGUCGUGAGAUGUUUGGUUAAGUCCAGCAACGAGCGCAACCCCUGUGAACUGUUGCCAGCGGAUAAUGCCGGGGACUCUGUUCAGACUGCCCAGAUCAACUGGGAGGAAGGUGGGGACGACGUCAGGUCAGUAUGGCCCUUACGCCUAGGGCUGCACACGUACUACAAUGCCCAGCACAAUGAGAACCGAGACCGCGAGGUGGAGGAAAUCUAUAAAACUGGGCCCAGUUCGGAUUGGAGACUGCAACUCGUCUCCAUGAAGUCGGAAUCGCUAGUAAUGCCGUAUCAGCUACGACGGCGUGAAUACGUUCCCGGGUCUUGUACACACCGCCCGUCACAUCAUGGAAGCCGGUCGCACCCGAAGUAUCUGCGCUAACUUUCGAGAAGCAGGAUCCUAAGGUGAGGCUGGUAACUGGGAUGAAGUCGUAACAAGGUAGCCGUA